rnacentral:rRNA from 1 species
UACGUAGGUGGCGAGCGUUGUCCGGAUUUACUGGGCGUAAAGGGAGCGUAGGCGGACUUUUAAGUGAGAUGUGAAAUACUCGGGCUCAACUUGAGUGCUGCAUUUCAAACUGGAAGUCUAGAGUACAGGAGAGGAGAAUGGAAUUCCUAGUGUAGCGGUGAAAUGCGUAGAGAUUAGGAAGAACACCAGUGGCGAAGGCGAUUCUCUGGACUGUAACCGACGCUGAGGCUCGAAAGCGUGGGGAGCAAACAGG